rnacentral:rRNA from 1 species
AUUGAACGCUGGCGGCAGGCCUAACACAUGCAAGUCGAACGAGUGGCGGACGGGUGAGUAAUGUCUGGGAAACUGCCUGAUGGAGGGGGAUAACUAAUGGAAACGGUAGCUAAUACCGCAUACCAUCGGAUGUGCCCAGAUGGGAUGGGCUAGUAGGUGGGUUAAAGGCUCACCUAGGAGACGAUCCCUAGCAGGUCUGAGAGGAUGACCAGCCCCACUGGAACUGAGACACGGUCACGACUCCUACGGGAGGCAGAAGUGGGGAAUAUUGCACAAUGGGCGCAAGCCUGCUGCAGCCAUGCCGCGUGUAUGAAGAAGGCCUUCGGGUUGUAAAGUACUUUCAGCGGGGAGGCGUUACCGACAGAAGAAGCACCGGCGAACUCCGUGCCAGCAGCCGCGGUAAUAC